rnacentral:rRNA from 1 species
CAGCCGCCGCGGUAAUACAGAGGGUGCGAGCGUUAAUCGGAUUUACUGGGCGUAAAGCGUGCGUAGGCGGCUUUUUAAGUCGGAUGUGAAAUCCCUGAGCUUAACUUAGGAAUUGCAUUCUAUACUGGGAAGCUAGAGUAUGGGAGAGGAUGGUAGAAUUCCAGGUGUAGCGGUGAAAUGCGUAGAGAUCUGGAGGAAUACCGAUGGCGAAGGCAGCCAUCUGGCCUAAUACUGACGCUGAGGUACGAAAGCAUGGGGAGCAAACAGGAUUAGAUACCCCCGUAGUCCCUGUCUCUUAUAC